rnacentral:rRNA from 1 species
UACCAGCACCCCGAGUGGUCGGGACGUUUUAUUGGGCCUAAAGCAUCCGUAGCCGGUUCUACAAGUCUUCCGUUAAAUCCACCUGCUUAACAGAUGGGCUGCGGAAGAUACUAUGGAGCUAGGAGGCGGGAGAGGCAAGCGGUACUCGAUGGGUAGGGGUAAAAUCCGUUGAUCCAUUGAAGACCACCAGUGGCGAAGGCGGCUUGCCAGAACGCGCUCGACGGUGGGGGGAUGAAAGCUGGGGGGAGCAAACCGG